rnacentral:rRNA from 1 species
AACAGGCGAAGAAGGACGCGGCAAGCUGCGAAAAGCCUCGGGAAGCUGCAAGCAAGCGAUGAUCCGGGGAUAUCCGAAUGGGGUAACCUGAUCGAGGCAAUACUCGAUCGUUCAUACCUGAAUACAUAGGGUAUGAAACGCGAAACCCGCUGAAGUGAAACAUCUCAGUAAGCGGAGGAAAAGAAAGAGAAAUCGAUUCCGUAAGUAGUGGCGAGCGAAAGCGGAUGGAGCCCAAACCGAAGGUAUUCCUUCGGGGUUGUAGGACCACGUCAUAUUCGACCAUACUGGAUAGUAGAACAGCCUGGAAAGGCUGGCCGGAGAAGGUGAAAGCCCUGUAGACGAAAUCCAGAGUGGGAAUUAGUGGCAUCCUGAGUAAUACAUCACACGUGGAACGAUGUAUGAACCCGCGCGGACCACCGCGCAAGGCUAAAUACUAGUUGGCGACCGAUAGUGAACAAGUACCGUGAGGGAAAGGUGAAAAGAACCGCUGUGAGCGGAGUGAAAUAGAACCUGAAACCGUAUGUCUACAAAGUGUCAGAGCAGAGCAAUCUGCGAUGGCGUGCCUUUUGUUUAAUGAGUCUGCGAGUCAGUGUUUGUGGCAAGACUAAGGGCUUCCGGCCCGGAGUCGCAGCGAAAGCAAGUCCGAACAGGGCGCAAUAAGUCGCAGGUACUGGACCCGAAGCGGAGGUGACCUACCCUUGGCCAGGUUGAAGCAUGGGUAAAACCAUGUGGAGGACCGAACAGGUGAACGUUGAAAAGUUCUCUGAUGAGCUGAGGGUAGGAGUGAAAGGCUAAUCAAACCCCGUGAUAGCUGGUUCUCUUCGAAAUGCAUUUAGGUGCAGCGUCACGUGCUGAUGCGCGGGGGUAGAGCACUGACAAGGCUAGGGGGCACACCCGCUUACCAAACCUUAUCAAACUCCGAAUACCGUGCAAUGGAACGUGGCAGUGAGACAGUGGGGGAUAAGCUUCAUUGUCGAGAGGGAAACAACCCAGACCAGCAGCUAAGGUGCCUAAAUAACGCUCAGUGGAAAGGAUGUGGGAUUACACAGACAGUGAGGAUGUUGGCUUAGAAGCAGCCACCAUUUAAAAAAUGCGUAAUAGCUUACUCAUCGAGUGAUCCUGCGCCGAAAAUGAUUGGCGAUCAAGCGUUAUACCGAAGCUCUGGACUUUGCCGCAAGGCAGAGUGGUAGAAGAGCGUUGCAUGCGCGUCGAAGGGCGAUGGCGACUGACCCUGGAGCACAUGCAAGUGAGUAUGCAGACAUGAGUAACGUUAAGCCGGGUGAAAUCCCCGGCCGCCGUAAACCCGAGGUUUCCAGGGCAACGUGUUUCGUCCCUGGGUUAGCCGGGACCUAAGCCGAGGCCGAGAGGCGUAGGCGAUGGACAUCAGGUUAAUAAUCCUGAGCUCGCAACCCUUAAACUGGGGGGACGCAUGAGAAAAGAUGACUAGGUUAUUGAAUUCCGAGUUGAGUCUACGGACUCAGCGCAUCAUUGGAUCGAGUGCCAAGAAAAGCCCCAGCGUAUGCUAAGCGACCCGUACCGCAAACCGACACAGGUGGGUGGGUAGAAUAUACCAAGGCGUAAGAGUGAAACCUGGUUAAGGAACUCGGCAAAUUAGCCCCGUAACUUCGGAAGAAGGGGUGCCUGCAGCGAUGCAGGCCGCAGAGAAAUGGCCCAACCGACUGUUUAUCAAAAACACAGCACUCUGCAAAGACGCAAGUCGAAGUAUAGGGUGUGACACGUGACCAAUGCCGAAAGAUUAAGGCAAGGGGUUAGCCGCAAGGCGAAGCUCUAAACCCAAGUCCCGGUGAAUGUCGGCCGUAACUAUAACGGUCCUAAGGUAGCGAAAUUCCUUGUCGGGUAAGUUCCGACCUGCACGAAUGGUGUAAUGAUCCGGACGCUGUCUCAACCAUGAGCUCAGUGAAAUUGUAGUAUCGGUGAAGAUGCCGAUUACCCGCGAUGGGACGAAAAGACCCCGUGAACCUUUACUACAGCUUAGCAUUGACCUUGGUCAUCCGAUGUGUAGGAUAGGCCGGAGGCUUCGAAGCGGGAGCGCCAGCUUUCGUGGAGCCAUCCUUGAAAUACGGCCCUUUGGCUGUCUGAGGUCUAACGCGUGAAACGCGGACACUGCUUGGUGGGUAGUUUGACUGGGGUGGUCGCCUCCAAAAGCGUAACGGAGGCUUCCAAAGGUGCCCUCGGGUCGAUUGGUAACCGACCUCAAAGAGUGCAAUGGCAUAAGGGCGCUUGACUGGGAGGCAGACAUGCCGAGCAGGCAGGAAACUGGGGCAUAGUGAUCCGGCGGAUGUGUAUGGAAACUCCGUCGCUCAAAGGAUAAAAGGUACUCCGGGGAUAACAGGCUGAUCCCCCCCAAGAGCUCAUAUCGACGGGGUGGUUUGGCACCUCGAUGUCGGCUCGUCACAUCCUGGGGCUGGAGAAGGUCCCAAGGGUUGGGCUGUUCGCCCAUUAAAGUGGCACGCGAGCUGGGUUCAGAACGUCGUGAGACAGUUCGGUCUCUAUCUAUCGUGGGCGUGGGAGUUUUGAGUGGUGCCGUCACUAGUACGAGAGGACCGUGAUGGACAGACCUCCGGUUUACCAGUUGUGCCGCCAGGCGCACCGCUGGGUAUCUGAGUCUGGAUUGGAUAAGCGCUGAAAGCAUCUAAGUGCGAAGCCAGCCGCAAGAUGAGAACUCCAUUGAGGGUCGUCAGAGACGAUGACGUUGAUAGGAUGCAGGUGUAAAGACAGCGAUGUCAAAGCCGAGCAUUACUAAUUGCCCGAACACUUUCUUUAU